AAUUUCAAUAUAUUCAGUUGAGACUAUUUACAUUAGGUGACAAUUUCAUUGAGAAUAAUUUAUGUGUCCCGUGCAUUAUCCAGAGGUCGAUUGGUUUUGCUUUAGAUACAGUUUUGCUCUGUUUGUUGUUUAAAUGAAACAGUUGCAGCGGUUUUGCAGAAAGAUAAAAUAAUCGCUCGCUACACAAGCCCGUUCGGGUGCGACAAAGUAAUACAGAAAUUUCCGAACAAUUUCCGAAGCCAUAAAAUUCGACAUUAAAAGCAGAUGUUGCAGACAGCUUUAUAUACGAAUCACUGGAGCGUGACUUAAAUCGAGCUAUUGCCCGCUAAAGCGCAGAGUCAAAUGACACACACACACACACACAACCUCAGUUAAUUUUAUUGCAGCUUUUAUAGCGGCACUAUGCGGAGCAUCGGAUUACUCAUACUCCUUUCAAGAUAAUAAUAUCGUUCUCAGAUACUGUAACACCCCGUACUCAUACACAAACACAGAUGCACAUACACAUUGCAUGCAUUUCCUUAACGCUUGCAAGCUUCCUGUGUACAUAAAUCGCCAUAAAGCGGAUAUUGUAUGUUCAAGCACGAACCACACCGACCGCCGUUAAGCAGACAUGUCCAUGCAUUUUCAACUUGGAUUUCCAAACAGAUUAACUCUUCAAUUAGAGAAGCUUCAGAGAAAGCGCACUGUUUGGCUCUUUUAGAUAAGCUGACGAGUUCCAUUUAAUAUGCAGUAAGGAAGCAGACAAUAUUGCGGUUACAUGAACGGACAUUGGUAUUAACGCACAACAGACAAACAUUUCAGAUUUUAAAAAAUGUGGAGAUACACAAGGAUUAUUAGAAUUUGGAAAUAAGUAAUUAUUUUAUUAAAUUAUUUCAAAGUUAUGCAAAAUUAAUAUAUAUAUAUAUAUA